rnacentral:rRNA from 1 species
UACAGAGGGUGCGAGCGUUAAUCGGAAUUACUGGGCGUAAAGCGUGCGUAGACGGUUAUUUAAGUCGGAUGUGAAAGCCCCGGGCUCAACCUGGGAAUUGCAUUCGAGACUGAAUAGCUAGGGUGCGGUAGAGGGAAGCGGAAUUUCCGGUGUAGCGGUGAAAUGCGUAGAUAUCGGAAGGAACAUCAGUGGCGAAAGCGGCUUCCUGGACCAGCACCGACGUCAGGCACGAAAGCGUGGGGAGCAAACAGGA